AUAAACACAAAUAUAUAUGAAUACACAUAUACACUAACAUUUAGAUAUACACAAAUAUACAUACAUACACCAAAUAUCGUAUUAUUCAUUUUGAAUCUCGAUGUCGAUCCUCACCUUUCUUCUCCUUGUCUCUCUGGAGAUUACCAGGACUUGAUGAGAACGUGUCUUUGACCACACCUGACUACGGAACAGCUCACUAGUCACCGGAUCAUUGUUUUUUCGCGCUCAUUCAUUGACGAGCGGGAUUUGUCUUCACUUACCGUGGCAGUGAACUAAGCUAAACGCCCAGAAGAAAGCUGUGUGGGAUUGGGAUAUUCGUUUAAGAAGGUAAGAACCACAUUUAUCAAUUUAUAAAGGCUGUUUGUCAUUAUUUAAACCGUGUUUUAACGUUAAGUUAAGUCUCUCUUUUUAAAGACUUUUCUCCUCUAGAUCAUUCAACACCAUCUUCCCUCACGGACACCAUAUCACUUCCUUCAAGUGACAGUGACCUUAGAGAACUGGGUAUGACCACAGGCAGAAAUAGAUCCAGCAAAGAAGACAUGAGUGUCACGGUUUGGGUCUGCUCUAUGUCUUAUUUUGUAGUUUUCAUGUCUCUUGUGUUCCUGGGUGACUACACUUCCUGCCUUGUCCUGUGAUUGCCUGAUUGAUUCCACCUGUGUCCAACCUUGGUCGUGACAUUAUCUACGUCAGUUGCCGUUGGUGCACGUUCGUCUGUUUUUUAUCAAUGAAAAUGUUAUUAAUUUGCUCCCUUCGUAGAUGUUUACCUUUCACAACACUUCUGUUUUUUGUCAUUCCUCUGAACUUUCACUCGUAGUCUAUAUAGACAUGUUGUAUGUUUUUUCUAAUAGACUGAAUUGAACACUGAAACUUAUUUUCCCUUUUCCUGUUAUGCGAGUAGAUUGUAGAAAAUGCCUUGCUUAAGAAGCCUGGAGGAGAGGAUAUUCUUGAGGAGUACAAGUCAGAAAAUUCACUAAUGCACCGCACUCGGAGACAGCUUGUCAACAUAUUGGCGAAUGAUAUGACUGAGAGACAUGGCAGGAUUCCUUCCCGUCAGCAGAAGGAGAAGUAUGCUCUGGGAAUUAUUACUCUUUCCCUCACUGAAGGAUCCUUUUUCUCCAAAGGGCUAUGUAAGUUUAUCAACCUUAAGAAAACACAGCAGCAGAUUUACAGUAAAGGGCUUUGGCGUUGUAGUUUUCAUUCUAAAAUAACUACUGUUUAUAAAAUUGAAAAUAUUUCAGAAUUUAACAAUCAUGAUGGUGCUCUGACUUGAAACUACUUGGGUUAUAAGGAUAUUUUUUCAAAUGCUAAAACACAAAAGCCAAUCCUCUAAACCAAAUGACCAGUUGUCUAAACACAUUUACCAAAUCUAGCCAUCAUUUUCCAAUACCAUAAACACAUUUCACAUCAAGACACAAUUCACAAAACACAAUCCUUCGUUCUCAUAAAUCUUAACACAUUUUCCCUUGCUAAAACACAAGUUGCAAAAGAACUCUGCUCAUAUUCUCAAAUGAAAGCUCAUGUGAUGCAAAAUGCUUGCCACAGUCAGCAAUAUUUGAACACAAUGAACAAACCUGCCGUAAAUCAUUACACAUAACGACUCAAAAUUGAAGACACUUGUUGCUAAUGCUGUGACCACAUGUAUAAAAGCAAGUUCAGAGUGCAGUUUGCUGAAGAUUCCAAACCAACACAAUGGAUGAAGGCAGAGUCAGGGGAAGAGGAAUUCGAGUCAGAGGAGGGAGAAGAGCUGGCCAUGGAAGAAGA